rnacentral:rRNA from 1 species
GACGAACGCUGGCGGCGUGCUUAACACAUGCAAGUCGAGCGGUAAGGCCCUUUCGGGGGUACACGAGCGGCGAACGGGUGAGUAACACGUGGGUGACCUGCCCUUAGCUCUGGGAUAAGCCUGGGAAACUGGGUCUAAUACCGGAUAUGACUCCAUGACGCAUGUUGUGGGGUGGAAAGCCUUGUGCGGCUAGGGAUGGGCCCGCGGCCUAUCAGCUUGUUGGUGGGGUGAUGGCCUACCAAGGCGACGACGGGUAGCCGGCCUGAGAGGGCGACCGGCCACACUGGGACUGAGACACGGCCCAGACUCCUACGGGAGGCAGCAGGUGGGGAAUCUUGCGCAAUGGGCGAAAGCCUGACGCAGCGACGCCGCGUGA